rnacentral:rRNA from 1 species
UGAACGCUAGCGGCAGGCUAACACAUGCAAGUCGAGGGGCAGCGCGAGGUAGCAAUACUUGGCGGCGACCGGCGAAAGGGUGCGUAACGCGUGAGCAACUUGCCCGUAUCUGGGACAUAAGCGGUGGAAACGCCGUCUAAUUUCCCAUAACAACAGAGGCCGCAUGACCUUUGUUUGAAAGAUCCGUCGGAUACGGAUGGGCUCGCGAGACAUUAGCUAGUCGGCGUGGUAACGGCACACCGAGGCGACGAUGUCUAGGGGUUCUGAGAGGAAGGUCCCCCACACUGGAACUGAGACACGGUCCAGACUCCUACGGGAGGCAGCAGUGAGGAAUAUUGGUCAAUGGGCGCAAGCCUGAACCAGCCAUGCCGCGUGAAGGAAAAUAAGGCCCUAUGGGUCGUAAACUUCUUUUGUGGUGGAGCAAUAAGGUGUACGUGUACACCGAUGAGAGUACAUCACGAAUAAGCAUCGGCUAACUCCGUGCCAGCCGCAGC